GUGCCACAGGAAGCCUGAUCGUAGCGAU
rnacentral:sRNA from 1 species